rnacentral:rRNA from 1 species
UACAGAGGUCUCAAGCGUUGUUCGGAUUCAUUGGGCGUAAAGGGUGCGUAGGCGGUAGGGUAAGUCUGGUGUGAAAUCCUGGAGCUUAACUUCAGAAAUGCACUGGAUACUGCCCUGCUAGAGGACUGGAGAGGAGAUUGGAAUUCACGGUGUAGCAGUGAAAUGCGUAGAUAUCUGAAGGAACACCAGUGGCGAAAGCGGCUUCCUGGUCCAGCACCGACGUUCAGGCACGAAAGCGUGGGGAGCAAACAGG